rnacentral:misc_RNA from 1 species
GAUCAACUAGAGUUAAAAGAAGCAUACAGAAAAAGAAUCUUACGGUUCACGCGAGAAAGAGAAGUGACAUCACCACGCAAACAACACAGAAAAAAAGCUCAUGAAAGAACAACAAAGCUGACCAGAUCUAAAGUACGCCGAUAAUACAAAAAGAAACCAAUAAAAGAAACGCAAAUCACACAUCUAACGCCACCUAUCACUCAGAAAGACCAAAAAGUAUGAGUAACGCUCCUCCAGCUACCAUGCGCACCCCCACCGGCACAUGUUAACGGAGAGUAACCGGCCACUGUUAAUAUGCGCCGAAGGUUGGGGCAAUUCGCAGCUAACCAGUGCAAGAACAGGCUUUGGUGAUUACCGAAAUCAACAAUUGGAGAAAUUUCUGUCAUGCUGCUUCCAUAAUCAAGAAAAAAAAGAAGCAAAAUGCAACUGAAAACAUCGCAAAAAAGGGAAAAAAAUUUCAGAAGUAC